ensembl:miRNA bta-mir-12011 bta-mir-12011
GAGAGCCCAUGAGACUCAAACAGGCCAUCCCUUCCUGUGGGGUCUCCAUGGGCCUCCCC